ACGAACGCUGGCGGCAUGCCUAACACAUGCAAGUCGCACGAGACCUUCGGGUCUAGUGGCGCACGGGUGCGUAACGCGUGGGAACCUGCCCUUAGGUUCGGAAUAACUCCCCGAAAGGGGUGCUAAUACCGGAUAAUGUCUUCGGACCAAAGAUUUAUCGCCUUUGGAUGGGCCCGCGUUGGAUUAGCUAGUUGGUAGGGUAAAAGCCUACCAAGGCGACGAUCCAUAGCUGGUCUGAGAGGAGGAUCAGCCACACUGGGACUGAGACACGGCCCAGACUCCUACGGGAGGCAGCAGUGGGGAAUAUUGGACAAUGGGCGAAAGCCUGAUCCAGCAAUGCCGCGUGAGUGAUGAAGGCCUUAGGGUUGUAAAGCUCUUUUACCCGGGAUGAUAAUGACAGUACCGGGAGAAUAAGCUCCGGCUAACUCCGUG
rnacentral:rRNA from 1 species